rnacentral:rRNA from 1 species
AGCAGCCGCGGUAAUUCCAGCUCCAAUAGCGUAUAUAAAGUGUGCAGUAAAAGCUCGUAUGAAUUCGGGGUUAGCAGGUCGGUCGUGCCAUCGGUAUGAACUGGUCUCGCUGAUCCCUCCUCUUGACGAACUGUGAUGCCAUUAAUUUGGUGUCGCAGGGAAUCAGACUGUUACUUUAAAAAUUAGAGUGUUUAAAGCAGGCUCACGCUUGAAUACAUUA